ACAGCAGCCGCCGCGGGAACACGAAGGGUGCAAGCGUUACUCGGAAUUACUGGGCGUAAAGCGUGCGUAGGUGGUGGUUUAAGUCCGUUGUGAAAGCCCUGGGCUCAACCUGGGAAUUGCAGUGGAUACUGGGUCACUAGAGUGUGGUAGAGGAUAGUGGAAUUUCCGGUGUAGCAGUGAAAUGCGUAGAGAUCGGAAGGAACAUCUGUGGCGAAGGCGACUAUCUGGGCCAACACUGACACUGAGGCACGAAAGCGUGGGGAGCAAACAGGAUUAGAUACCCCAGUAGUCCCUGUCUCUUAUAC
rnacentral:rRNA from 1 species